rnacentral:rRNA from 1 species
AACACGCGCGCGAGUCGCAGGGCCGUACGAAACCCGAAGGCGCAACGAAAGUGAAGGCCGCUCUCGAGAGCGGCUCGGGCGGGAUCCGCGGCGGAGAAAUUCGCCGCGGCUGCACCGCCGGCCCGUCUCGGCCGCCGCGUCGGCGAGGCGGAGCAAGAGCGCGCGCGUUGGGACCCGAAAGAUGGUGAACUAUGCCCGAGCAGGACGAAGCCAGCAGGAAACUCUGGUGGAGGUCCGCAGCGAUUCUGACGUGCAAAUCGAUCGUCGAACUUGGG